rnacentral:rRNA from 1 species
UACGUAGGUGGCGAGCGUUGUCCGGAUUUAUUGAGCGUAAAGCGCGCGCAGGCGGUCGCUCCGUCCGGUGUGAAAUCUCCCGGCUCACCUGGGAGGGGGCGCUGGAGACUGGCGAACUGGAGGCAGGGAGAGGUCGGUGGAAUUCCCGGUGUAGUGGUGAAAUGCGUAGGAGAUCGGGAGGAACACCAGUGGCGAAAGCGGCCG